rnacentral:lncRNA from 1 species
GGAGAGCUUCGGCUCUGGAACGCCUUGUCGUUCAAAGUGGUGGAACACUAGUUGUUCAAAAGCGGUGUUGAGCGGUGAGGACUUAGGUCCUGAUGAGAAUGCUUUAACCAUUCGACAGCGGUGUGGGUCACGGCCCUGAUUAUGGUACCACAUGCAUAUUUGCAUUUAUUGAGGAGUCUAGGGUGUUGUCUUAGCGGUGUUGUCAUGUCCUUUGCAUGAGUCGGUGUUGUUGGUUGUAGUUGCCAUAUUGACGAUGAUGAUGUUGUUUGUUAGAUGAAGUAUAUAUUUAUACCUAUAUGAUGAUGAUUGAUUUGAUGAUGAUGAUGUUGUUUUAUGAAGUAUAUAUACAUAUGCAUAUAAGAUGAUGAACUGAUUAUAUUUAGGGUGUUAGAUUCAAUUGACGAAUUUUAA